AAGUAGAUUGGGAAACUCAUCAAAUUUUAUGAAAUGCCGAGACAAGCUUUCUUUUCCAAUGGCGGGCCACGCCUUCGGGUAUGCUUAGCACGGUGGAUUACAAAGGAGAAGAGGCACUCAAAUCCUGUCAUUCGGAGUUUCAUCGCAUCCUUUGGAUGGCCUUUUU
rnacentral:sRNA from 1 species